rnacentral:rRNA from 1 species
UACGGAGGGUGCAAGCGUUAUCCGGAUUCACUGGGUUUAAAGGGUUCGUAGGCGGGCAGUUAAGUCAGUGGUGAAAUCCUUGAGCUCAACUCGAGAACUGCCAUUGAUACUAUCUGUCUUGAAUAUUGUGGAGGUAAGCGGAAUAUGUCAUGUAGCGGUGAAAUGCUUAGAUAUGACAUAGAACACCUAUUGCGAAGGCAGCUUACUGCGCAUAUAUUGACGCUGAGGCACGAAAGCGUGGGGAUCAAACAGG